GCAGGCGCGAAAACUUUACAAUGCGGGAAACCGUGAUAAGGGAACACCGAGUGCCAGCAUCAUAUGCUGGCUGUCCAGGUGUGUAAACUACAUCUGUUAGCAAGGGCCGGGCAAGACCGGUGCCAGCCGCCGCGGUAACACCGGCGGCCCGAGUGGUGACCGUUAUUAUUGGGUCUAAAGGGUCCGUAGCCGGUUUGGUCAGUCCUCCGGGAAAUCUGAUAGCUUAACUGUUAGGCUUUCGGGGGAUACUGCCAGGCUUGGAACCGGGAGAGGUAAGAGGUACUACAGGGGUAGGAGUGAAAUCUUGUAAUCCCUGUGAGACCACCUGUGGCGAAGGCGUCUUACCAGAACGGGUUCGACGGUGAGGGACGAAAGCUGGGGGCACGAACCGGAUUAGAUACCCGGGUAGUCCCAGCCGUAAACUAUGCUCGCUAGGUGUCAGGCAUGGCGCGACCGUGUCUGGUGCCGCAGGGAAGCCGUGAAGCGAGCCACCUGGGAAGUACGGCCGCAAGGCUGAAACUUAAAGGAAUUGGCGGGGGAGCACAACAACGGGUGGAGCCUGCGGUUUAAUUGGACUCAACGCCGGACAACUCACCGGGAACGAC
rnacentral:rRNA from 1 species